rnacentral:rRNA from 1 species
UACGUAGGGGGGCGAGCGUUGUCCGGAAUCAUUGGGCGUAAAGCGCGUGUAGGCGGCUCGGUAAGUCCGGUGUGAAACCUUGGGGCUCAACCCCAAGCCUGCACUGGAUACUGUCGAGCUUGAGUCCGGGAGGGGAGAGCGGAAUUCCUAGUGUAGCGGUGAAAUGCGCAGAUAUUAGGAAGAACACCGGUGGCGAAGGCGGCUCUCUGGAACGGUACUGACGCUGAGACGCGAAAGCGUGGGGAGCGAACAGG